rnacentral:rRNA from 1 species
UACGGGGGGGGCAAGCGUUGUUCGGAAUUACUGGGCGUAAAGGGCUUGUAGGUGGCCAACUAAGUCAGACGUGAAAUCCCUCGGCUUAACCGGGGAACUGCGUCUGAUACUGGAUGGCUGGAGUGUGGGAGAGGGAUGCGGAAUUCCAGGUGUAGCGGUGAAAUGCGUAGAUAUCUGGAGGAACACCGGUGGCGAAGGCGGCAUCCUGGACCAAUUCUGACGCUGAGGAGCGAAAGCCAGGGGAGCAAACGGG